rnacentral:rRNA from 1 species
ACCUACGGGGGGCAGCAGUGGGGAAUAUUGCACAAUGGGGGAAACCCUGAUGCAGCGACGCCGCGUGAGUGAAGAAGUAUUUCGGCACGUAAAGCUCUAUCAGCAGGGAAGAAGAACCGGCCUUAGGGCGGCCAGACGGUACCUGACUAAGAAGCCCCGGCUAACUACGUGCCAGCAGCCGCGGUAAUACGUAGGGGGCAAGCGUGAUCCGGAUUUAGUGGGGGUAGAGGGGGCGUAGACGGCAGCGCAAGUCUGGAGUGAAAUGCCGGGGGCCAACCCCGGAUCUGC